rnacentral:lncRNA from 1 species
AUGUGCGACCACCCAGAGCCUCAGACUGUGACUCCGGGAAACAGGGUCUGUGCAGACAAUGAGUUAAGGCUGGAGACACGCUCCUCCUGGGUCAGGAUGGCCCUCAACCCGAUGACCGGCGUCCUUGUAAGAGGAGGUGCAGACACAGAGGAGGAGCCACAGCAUGGUGGGGGUGGAGGUUUGAGCAAGCCGGCUGCGAGCCUGGAGUCACCGGGGACUUCACAGGGAAGGAGUAGGGGCACCCCAGCCUCUUUCAAGAGCAUGUGCUCAGCCGCUUCAGUUGUGUCUGACUCCUGCAACCCCGCGGACUGUAGCCUGCCAGGCUCCUCUGUCUGUGGGAUUCUCCAGGCAAGAAUCCUGGAGUGCGUUGACAUUUCCUCCUCCAGGGGAUCUUCCUGAUCCAGGGACAGAACGAGGGUCUCCUGCACUCACAGGUGGGCGGGCCCUUUACCUGGGAAGCCGCGUCAAGAGGCUGUGCCUGGAAAGAAAACACGAUGGCUCACAGAGAAAGGGCUAGAGGGGGCCUCGGGAAAGUGGAGUUCAUUCCCAUAAACUUGAACGUUUGGCAGCAAUUUCAUGAAAAAAACAUUCUUUUUAAGAUCAAGUUAAAAUAAACACCGGUGUUAGAGAUCCGCA